GAUGAACGCUGGCGGCGUGCCUAAUACAUGCAAGUCGAGCGAACGGACGAGAAGCUUGCUUCUCUGAUGUUAGCGGCGGACGGGUGAGUAACACGUGGAUAACCUACCUAUAAGACUGGGAUAACUUCGGGAAACCGGAGCUAAUACCGGAUAAUAUUUUGAACCGCAUGGUUCAAAAGUGAAAGACGGUCUUGCUGUCACUUAUAGAUGGAUCCGCGCUGCAUUAGCUAGUUGGUAAGGUAACGGCUUACCAAGGCAACGAUGCAUAGCCGACCUGGGAGGGUGAUCGGCCACACUGGAACUGAGACACGGUCCAGACUCCUACGGGAGGCAGCAGUAGGGAAUCUUCCGCAAUGGGCGAAAGCCUGACGGAGCAACGCCGCGUGGGUGAUGAAGUUCUUCGGAUCGUAAAACUCUGUUAUUAGGGAAGAACAUAUGUGUAAGUAACUGUGCACAUCUUGACGGUACCUAAUCAGAGAGCCACGGCUAACUACGUG
rnacentral:rRNA from 1 species